GUUCAGUGUGGCAUAGUGGGUUGAGUGCAGGACUGUAGCUCUGGAGAUCAGGGUUCAAUACCCUGUUUGGCCA